CAUUAGAUAGCUGAAAUGCCAGCAUUGGUCUCUUAAACCAUCUUAUAGUAAAUUAGCACUUACUUCUAAUGA
rnacentral:tRNA from 1 species